rnacentral:rRNA from 1 species
UACGUAGGUCGCAAGCGUUGUCCGGAUUUACUGGGCGUAAAGAGCGCGCAGGCGGCUGGUCAAGUCCGAUGUGAAAUCUCCCGGCUUAACUGGGAAACUGCAUCGGAAACUGAUCGGCUUGAAGGUGGGAGAGGGUAGUGGAAUUCCUGGUGUAGCGGUGAAAUGCGCAGAUAUCAGGAGGAACACCGGUGGCGAAGGCGGGUCUCUGGGCAACUACUGACGCUGAGGAGCGAAAGCGUGGGGAGCGAACAGG